rnacentral:rRNA from 1 species
AUUGAACGCUGGCGGCCGGCCUAACACAUGCAAGUCGAACGAGUGGCGGACGGGUGAGUAAUGUCUGUGACACUGCCCGAUGGAUGGGGAUAACUACUGGAAACGGUAGCUAAUACCGCAUACCAUCGGAUGGUCCCAGAUGGGAUUAGCUAGUAGGUGGGGUAAAGGCUCACCUAGGCGACGAUCCCUAGCUGGUCUGAGAGGAUGACCAGCCACACUGGAACUGAGACACGGUCCAGACUCCUACGGGAGGCAGCAGUGGGGAAUAUUGCACAAUGGGCGCAAGCCUGAUGCAGCCAUGCCGCGUGUAUGAAGAAGGCCUUCGGGUUGUAAAGUACUUUCAGCGGGGAGGCGUUACCCGCAGAAGAAGCACCGGCUAACUCCGUGCCAGCAGCCGCGGUAAUAC